GACGAACGCUGGCGGCGUGCUUAACACAUGCAAGUCGAACGGAAAGGCCCUGCUUUUGUGGGGUGCUCGAGUGGCGAACGGGUGAGUAACACGUGAGUAACCUGCCCUUGACUUUGGGAUAACUUCAGGAAACUGGGGCUAAUACCGGAUAGGAGCUCCUGCUGCAUGGUGGGGGUUGGAAAGUUUCGGCGGUUGGGGAUGGACUCGCGGCUUAUCAGCUUGUUGGUGGGGUAGUGGCUUACCAAGGCUUUGACGGGUAGCCGGCCUGAGAGGGUGACCGGCCACAUUGGGACUGACAUACGGCCCAGAGUCAUACGGGAGGCAGCAGUGGGGAAUAUUGCACAAUGGGCGGAAGCCUGAUGAAGCAACGACGCGUGCGGGAUGACGGCCUUCGGGUUGUAAACCGCUUUCGCCUGUGACGAAGCGUGCGUGACGGUAAUGGGUAAAGAAGCACCGGCUAACUACGUG
rnacentral:rRNA from 1 species